AGUGAACGCUGGCGGUAGGCCUAACACAUGCAAGUCGAACGGCAGCACAGUAAGAGCUUGCUCUUACGGGUGGCGAGUGGCGGACGGGUGAGGAAUACAUCGGAAUCUACUUUUUCGUGGGGGAUAACGUAGGGAAACUUACGCUAAUACCGCAUACGACCUACGGGUGAAAGCAGGGGAUCUUCGGACCUUGCGCGAUUGAAUGAGCCGAUGUCGGAUUAGCUAGUUGGCGGGGUAAAGGCCCACCAAGGCGACGAUCCGUAGCUGGUCUGAGAGGAUGAUCAGCCACACUGGAAAUGAGACACGGUCCAGACUCCUACGGGAGGAAGCAGUGGGGAAUAUUGGACAAUGGGCGCAAGCCUGAUCCAGCCAUACCGCGUGGGUGAAGAAGGCCUUCGGGUUGUAAAGCCCUUUUGUUGGGAAAGAAAAGCAGCAGGUUAAUACCCCGCUGUUCUGACGGUACCCAAAGAAUAAGCACCGGCUAACUUCGUG
rnacentral:rRNA from 1 species